ensembl:snRNA U6 U6 spliceosomal RNA
CAUUUUUCUGCAGAAAUAAUGGGAUGUGCCUGAGAGAUGAUUAGCCUGGCCUCUGUGCAAGGAUGACACACAAAUCUGUGAAUGUUCCAUAUUUUU